UAUAUAUAUAUAUCUAUAUAUAUAAAAAUGGAUUUCCGUCUGUCUGUCUGUCUGUCUGUCUGUCUGUCUGUCUGACCGCUAUGCAUUCGGAAACUACUGAACCGAUCGGUGUGAAAUUUUGUGUGUGAAUACUUUGGGGGCCGGGGAAGGUUCUUAGCUUGGUGUGAGACCUCUCCGGUCUCUGGAACAGGGGGCCCCCAUACAGAUAACUUCGCCGGGGACGCCCCUAUAGAGCUGUAUGUCAAAAAACACAGUAGGCAGGCAGUACGACGUUUGCCGAGACAGCUACAUCAUGUCAAAAUUUGCAUUGCUCAGCCACGAACACCAAUCGGAACAUUGAGCCGUAUCUUUGCAGGACAGCAAGUGUUCAAUAUCUCCAAAAAGAGACACAGGAGUUAUUGGAGGUGGACAGGCUGCCGAUGACAGUUGGCUACUGUUGGCGUGAAUGGCAGGACACUCAGUCGAGGUAUAAAUAUGUAGACCCGAAUCAUGGAAGGAGAGCAUACGAAGAUCCUGAUCUAUGGAGAGCGGCGAGGAUAGUGGUUCCAAUCUUUGUCAUGAUUCAUUUUGGACGAUCGUGAUCAAGCAAGCUCCUAUGCUGACGAAGAUUUUCGAUAAUGUCACGUGUUAAGAAGACGACUAAGCCUAU